UGACGGUACCCAAGGAGGAAGCCACGGCUAACUACGUGCCAGCAGCCGCGGUAAUACGUAGGUGGCGAGCGUUAUCCGGAAUUAUUGGGCGUAAAGGGAGCGUAGGCGGAUAAUUAAGUGGGAUGUGAAAUACUCAGGCUCAACCUGGGGGCUGCAUUCCAAACUGAUUAUCUAGAGUGCAGGAGAGGAGAGUGGAAUUCCUAGUGUAGCGGUGAAAUGCGUAGAUAUUAGGAGGAAUACCAGUUGCGAAGGCGGCCCCCUGGACGAAGACUGACGCUCAGGUGCGAAAGCGUGGGGAGCAAACAGGAUCAGAUACCCUGGUAGUCCACGCCGUAAACGAUGUCGAUUUGGAGGUUGUGCCCUUGAGGCGUGGCUUUCGGAGCUAACGCGUUAAGUCGACCGCCUGGGGAGUACGGCCGCAAGGUUAAAACUCAAAGGAAUUGACGGGGACCCGCACAAGCGGUGGAGCAUGUGGUUUAAUUCGAUGCAACGCGAAGAACCUUACCUGGUCUUGACAUCCACGGAAGUUUUCAGAGAUGAGAAUGUGCCUUCGGGAACCGUGAGACAGGUGCUGCAUGGCUGUCGUCAGCUCGUGUUGUGAAAUGUUGGGUUAAGUCCCGCAACGAGCGCAACCCUUAUCCUUUGUUGCCAGCGGUCCGGCCGGGAACUCAAAGGAGACUGCCAGUGAUAAACUGGAGGAAGGUGGGGAUGACGUCAAGUCAUCAUGGCCCUUACGACCAGGGCUACACACGUGCUACAAUGGCGCAUACAAAGAGAAGCGACCUCGCGAGAGCAAGCGGACCUCAUAAAGUGCGUCGUAGUCCGGAUUGGAGUCUGCAACUCGACUCCAUGAAGUCGGAAUCGCUAGUAAUCGUGGAUCAGAAUGCCACGGUGAAUACGUUCCCGGGCCUUGCACUCACCGCCCGUCA
rnacentral:rRNA from 1 species